UCUGAUUCAAAACAGUACUCGCUAACAUCCACUGAAUGCCUACUAUGUGCCAGGUCUUGCAUUUCUCACGUGGGAUUUUUUCCUUUAAGCCACAUAACACUCUAAUUUGGUACAGUUUCUUAUCUGCAACUUAGAAAGAUGAAAAAAGGCGGGGUCCCGAGGCUAAGGGACCUGAUGGAAGCUAAGGCACCAGGGCUCAGAGACACCUGUUCUAUGUUCAUGGUUCUCAACCGCUGUGCUAUCCUAUUUCCUACUGAAAACCCUAUUUGAAAAGCAUACAUUUAAGUUUCUUUUAACCGUCUUUAGAAUUUAUUGCCCCUUUUUUGUUGUUAGGUCAAGACAAGUUGAAUGGCAAAAAGAAAGAAGGAAGGAAGGAAAAAAAGAAGGAAGGGAGGUAAGGAAGGAGAGAAUCUGGGAAUAAUCAUGCUCCAGGGAGUAGAUAACUAGAUACUCAGCAGACCUAGUAGUGAAUUGUAAGCUGGGGCUCUUUCUAGAUGGAAGAGAGUCUGGCAACCGCCCGUUAUUUUAGGUGGGAACCAAAUAUAAACUAAUUUCCAGCAUCCCACACAGACCUUAUCAAUUAGGGAGGCCUCCAUUACACUUGCCAAAGACCCCAGUUUUGCUCUUGCUAAGUUUUUACGACUGCCUUACUUCACUGAAAAAAGAGAGCGAGUGUUUGCAAGAUAAUGAAUGUAGGCAUCAACUUAUCAACAAUGAAAAAGACAUACAGAGACUUGAAACUGGAAAUUUUUUGGUUUGUUUUUCAGUAAAUUUAGGUGUGUCCUCUUCCAAAGCCAAGUGUAAGACUGAGAAACUGGCUUGCUUGAGAGGCUACCAGAGUCACGUGGAUAAGGAUGAAUCUGGAGCAUAUUAUGAACAGAAGACAAGUUUAAAUAAAGGGAUGUGAACCAUUCAUUCUAAUGCAGCCCUAGCGGGAAAUUUAACCUAAAAAACAAGUUGAUCAGCAUCACUGAAAUUGAAAGUGUGUAUUCAACCAAAAUGUCACUUUAACCUCACCACCUUUUCAGAUACUCUGAUUUCCUACUGGAGACCUGGUUCUAAGCAAAGGGUGGCUGUGGGAUCUGU
rnacentral:lncRNA from 12 species